rnacentral:lncRNA from 1 species
CCAGCAAACUGCCUUCUAGAUGAAGCCUAGCUCAGGCUCUGCUAGUGAACCUGACAUAAGCCAUCAGUUAUUCCUACAAGUUCUCAAAGUGAAUCAUUGUAGGUGCCCCCAAAGCAAUAAGGUACAGUCACCACCUGCUGCUCCUGGGUCUGCUUCUCUGAGAACAUCAGUCUCCACACUAAGGAUGACAUCACCAGCCAACACUCCUGCCUGAAAUUGGAAAGCUGAGAGAGGGUCAUCUCAGCCAAGGACUCAGUGGGGUAGAAGGAAAAUUCUUUCCCCUUCCCUACAGAAUCACUGCAGAAGAAAGGAAAGCAAGGAGGAAAGAAAGAGCUAGCUACCCAAAGCCAGUGUCAUCUCUGAUCAAGCCCUGUGGAUGAGAGACUGAGAAUAAAUACCACGUGAUGUCAUAAUCUCUUCGAGCAGAAAGUCCACCAGGAAGCAUCUUGGAGUGACACCAAAGUCCUCUGUGACACAGAGGCCACAACUUCUCUAAAAGGACUCGGGAAAGGUAGAAGACUUGUUAGGCCAGAAAGCACAUACAAAGCUGAUUAUUUCCUCUCCAAUUUCUUGAAAGAUUGAUAUUGGCUCACCAAAGCCAAUUAACAAUGAUGCUGUAAGUGUUAAAAUAACAACAACAAUAAUAAACAACUUGUUUU